rfam:Cryptococcus amylolentus CBS 6039 supercont1.9, whole genome shotgun sequence.
AUAAACAGCUAAUACACCCUGACAGUAUCGACGGCCACGUCCCGUCUGAUCCUCGAAGUCAACUAGGAGAGCGUUCGGUUAGUACCAAGGUGGGGGACCACCUGGGAAUCCCGGGUGCCGUCGUUU